rnacentral:rRNA from 1 species
AUUGAACGCUGGCGGCAGGCCUAACACAUGCAAGUCGAACGAGUGGCGGACGGGUGAGUAAUGUCUGUGACACUGCCCGAUGGAGGGGGAUAACUACUGGAAACGGUAGCUAAUACCGCAUACCAUCAGAUGUGCCCAGAUGGGCUUAGCGAGUAGGUGGGGUAACGGCUCACCUAGGCGACGAUCCCUAGCUGGUCUGCGAGGAUGACCGGCGACACUGGAACUAGGCAACGGUCCAGAGUCCUACGGAAGGCAGCAGUGGGGAAUAGUGCACAAUGGGGGAAAGCCGGAUGCAGCGAUGCCGCGUGUAUGAAGAGGGUCUUCGGGUUGUAAAGUACUUUCAGCGAGGAGGCGUUACCCGCAGAAGAAGCACCGGCUAACUCCGUGCCAGCAGCCGCGGUAAUUC